rnacentral:rRNA from 1 species
UACAGGGGGGGCAAGCGUUGUUCGGAAUUACUGGGCGUAAAGGGCUCGUAGGUGGCCAACUAAGUCGGACGUGAAAUCCCUCAGCUUAACUGGGGAACUGCAUCCGAUACUGGAUGGCUUGAGUUUGGGAGAGGGAUGCGGAAUUCCAGGUGUAGCGGUGAAAUGCGUAGAUAUCAGGAGGAACACCGGUGGCGAAGGCGGCUCUCUGGGCCGAUACUGACGCUGAGGAGCGAAAGCGUGGGGAGCGAACAGG